ACUAUUUUGGCAGAUUAGUGCGGUGGAUUUAGAAUCUAUAAAUAUGAUUUAUCAUAAAUAGUA
rnacentral:tRNA from 1 species